CGCUGGCGGCGUGCCUCAGACAUGCAAGUCNAACGAUUAAAGCUCCCUUCGGGGAGUGCAUMAAGUGGCGCACGGGUGAGUAACACGUAAGUAAUCUACCCUCGGGUGGGGAAUAACGUUCGGAAACGGACGCUAAUACCGCAUAAUGCAGCGGCACCGCAAGGUGACAGUUGUUAAAGAUUUAUUGCCUGGGGAGGAGCUUGCGGCAGAUUAGCUUGUUGGUAAGGUAACGGCUUACCAAGGCUACGAUCUGUAUCCGGUCUAAGAGGACGGUCGGACACACUGACACUGAAUAACGGGUCAGACUCCUACGGGAGGCAGCAGUCGGGAAUUUUGGGCAAUGGGGGAAACCCUGACCCAGCAACGCCGCGUGAAGGAUGAAGUAUUUCGGUAUGUAAACUUCGAAAGAAUAGGAAGAAUUAAUGACGGUACUAUUUAUAAGGUCCGGCUAACUACGUGCCAGCAGCCGCGGUAAUACGUAGGGACCAAGCGUUGUUCGGAUUUACUGGGCGUAAAGGGCGCGUAGGCGGCGCGGUAAGUCACUUGUGAAAUCUCUGAGCUUAACUCAGAACGGCCAAGUGAUACUGCAGUGCUAGAGUGUGGAAGGGGCAAUCGGAAUUCUUGGUGU
rnacentral:rRNA from 1 species